AGCUAAUACCGGAUAAUAUUUUGAACCGCAUGGUUCAAAAGUGAAAGACGGUCUUGCUGUCACUUAUAGAUGGAUCCGCGCUGCAUUAGCUAGUUGGUAAGGUAACGGCUUACCAAGGCAACGAUGCAUAGCCGACCUGAGAGGGUGAUCGGCCACACUGGAACUGAGACACGGUCCAGACUCCUACGGGAGGCAGCAGUAGGGAAUCUUCCGCAAUGGGCGAAAGCCUGACGGAGCAACGCCGCGUGAGUGAUGAAGGUCUUCGGAUCGUAAAACUCUGUUAUUAGGGAAGAACAUAUGUGUAAGUAACUGUGCACAUCUUGACGGUACCUAAUCAGAAAGCCACGGCUAACUACGUGCCAGCAGCCGCGGUAAUACGUAGGUGGCAAGCGUUAUCCGGAAUUAUUGGGCGUAAAGCGCGCGUAGGCGGUUUUUUAAGUCUGAUGUGAAAGCCCACGGCUCAACCGUGGAGGGUCAUUGGAAACUGGAAAACUUGAGUGCAGAAGAGGAAAGUGGAAUUCCAUGUGUAGCGGUGAAAUGCGCAGAGAUAUGGAGGAACACCAGUGGCGAAGGCGACUUUCUGGUCUGUAACUGACGCUGAUGUGCGAAAGCGUGGGGAUCAAACAGGAUUAGAUACCCUGGUAGUCCACGCCGUAAACGAUGAGUGCUAAGUGUUAGGGGGUUUCCGCCCCUUAGUGCUGCAGCUAACGCAUUAAGCACUCCGCCUGGGGAGUACGACCGCAAGGUUGAAACUCAAAGGAAUUGACGGGGACCCGCACAAGCGGUGGAGCAUGUGGUUUAAUUCGAAGCAACGCGAAGAACCUUACCAAAUCUUGACAUCCUUUGACAACUCUAGAGAUAGAGCCUUCCCCUUCGGGGGACAAAGUGACAGGUGGUGCAUGGUUGUCGUCAGCUCGUGUCGUGAGAUGUUGGGUUAAGUCCCGCAACGAGCGCAACCCUUAAGCUUAGUUGCCAUCAUUAAGUUGGGCACUCUAAGUUGACUGCCGGUGACAAACCGGAGGAAGGUGGGGAUGACGUCAAAUCAUCAUGCCCCUUAUGAUUUGGGCUACACACGUGCUACAAUGGACAAUACAAAGGGUAGCGAAACCGCGAGGUCAAGCAAAUCCCAUAAAGUUGUUCUCAGUUCGGAUUGUAGUCUGCAACUCGACUACAUGAAGCUGGAAUCGCUAGUAAUCGUAGAUCAGCAUGCUACGGUGAAUACGUUCCCGGGUCUUGUACACACCGCCCGUCACACCACGAGAGUUUGUAACACCCGAAGCCGGUGGAGUAACCUUUUAGGAGCUAGCCGUCGAAGGUGGGACAAAUGAUUGGGG
rnacentral:rRNA from 1 species